GGAAGAAGAGGAGGAGGGAAGAGGAAGAAGAAGAGGAAGAAGAAGAAGGAGCUCUCUUUGAACACAGACUUUGCAUGGAAAGAAAGAUAAGACGAUGUUUGGAAAACUGUAAUACUUCAUUGAUCGGGAUCAACAAGGGAAAACUCCAGAAAAGGCCUGACACCUCGAGGGAGUCAAGUCCUCUCUCCUUUUGUCCCAGCUGUUCCCCAUGGACACAGACCGAUCCUUCAGGAAUGUUUCUCGUCCCAGAAUCUUGACCUCAUGGAAGCAGAGCCAGAGGCAGCGUGAGGAUUAUGGUUUCCAGUACUGCAAGGAACAUCAGUUCUCGGGUGAUAACAAAUGUGGUGAAGAACUAAAAUCGCCUAGGUAGGCUUUCAAAAUGAGGCAUGGAGCCUCCUUUUCAAAUGUUGCGUGAAGUUGAAUCUACGUGCGAGUUGUUUUCAAUGGCAAAAAUGUUCUCGAAAAUAAAUCAUCCCAGGGCAAGGU